UGGUGGAGUGAUUUGUCUGGUUAAUUCCGAUAACGAACGAGACCUUAACCUGCUAAAUAGCCAGGCCGUCUUUGGAUGGUCGCCGGCUUCUUAGAGGGACUAUCAGUGUCUAACUGAUGGAAGUUUGAGGCAAUAACA
rnacentral:rRNA from 1 species